rnacentral:rRNA from 1 species
AUGCAAGUCGUACGAGAGUUUUUAACUCUAGUGGCGGACGGGUGAGUAACACGUGAGAAUCUACCCUAAGGAGGGGAAUAACAGCUGGAAACGGUUGCUAAUACCCCAUAUGCCGCAAGGUGAAAGGAUUUAUCCACCUUAGGAAGAGCUCGCGUCUGAUUAGCUAGUUGGUGAGGUAAAGGCUCACCAAGGCCAUGAUCAGUAGCUGGUUUGAGAGGACGAUCAGCCACACUGGGACUGAGACACGGCCCAGACUCCUACGGGAGGCAGCAGUGGGGAAUUUUCCGCAAUGGGCGAAAGCCUGACGGAGCAAUACCGCGUGAGGGAUGAAGGCCUGUGGGUUGUAAACCUCUUUUCUCAAGGAAGAAGUUCUGACGGUACUUGAGGAAUAAGCAUCGGCUAACUCUGUGCCAGCAGCCGCGGUAAUACAGAGGAUGCAAGCGUUAUCCGGAAUCACUGGGCAUAAAGCGUCUGUAGGUGGUUUGAUAAGUCUGCUGUUAAAGACUAGGGCUUAACCCUAGGAAAGCAGUGGAAACUGUCUGACUUGAGUAUGGUAGAGGUACAGGGAAUUCCUAGUGUAGCGGUGAAAUGCGUAGAUAUUAGGAAGAACACCAAUGGCGAAAGCACUGUACUGGGCCACAACUGACACUGAGAGACGACAGCUAGGGGAGCAAAUGGGAUUAGAUACCCCAGUAGUCCUAGCCGUAAACGAUGGAUACUAGGUGUUGCACGUAUUAACCCGUGCAGUAUCGUAGCU